UGGGGAAUUUUGCACAAUGGGGGAAACCCUGAUGCAGCGACGCCGCGUGAUUUAGAAGGCCUUCGGGUUGUAAAAAUCUUUUGUAUGGGAAGAAAAUGACAGUACCAUACGAAUAAGGACCGGCUAAUUACGUGCCAGCAGCCGCGGUAAUACGUAAGGUCCGAGCGUUGUCCGGAAUCAUUGGGCGUAAAGGGUACGUAGGCGGAUAAGCAAGUUAGAAGUGAAAUCCUAUAGCUCAACUAUAGUAAGCUUUUAAAACUGCUCAUCUUGAGGUAUGGAAGGGAAAGUGGAAUUCCUAGUGUAGCGAUGAAAUGCGUAGAUAUUAGGAGGAAUACCGGUGGCGAAGGCGACUUUCUGGACUUUUACUGCCGCUCAGGUACGAAAGCGUGGGGAGCAAACAGG
rnacentral:rRNA from 1 species